UACAGAGGGGGCUAGCGUUGUUCGGAAUUACUGGGCGUAAAGGGCGCGUAGGUGGCCUGUUAAGUCGAACGUGAAAUCCCCGGGCUCAACCCGGGAACUGCGUCCGAGACUGGCAGGCUCGAAUCCGGGAGAGGGAUGUGGAAUUCCAGGUGUAGCGGUGAAAUGCGUAGAUAUCUGGAGGAACACCGGUGGCGAAGGCGGCAUCCUGGACCGGUAUUGACGCUGAGGCGCGAAAGCCAGGGGAGCGAACGGG
rnacentral:rRNA from 1 species